rnacentral:lncRNA from 1 species
UCUAUUUAGCUUGCAUCUUCAAAGUCUUUUUUUUUCUUCCCAUGGGAUUUAGGCUAGGAGGUGUUUGGUUGAUAGAGCCAUGCUUAAAUGGGCCACCCAAUCCGCGAAACCUGUAGGAUUUUCAGCCUAAUCUUAUAAGAAUAACCAAAUAGAUCUGUUUGGAAAAUCCAGCAUGAUUGGGUCAAAUUUUCUAUUAGAUUCAUAUAGUUGGCAG